UCAUGCUGUGGGAUCACAGAGGAAGGCUGUUCUUCUCUGGGAUCAGCUCUGAAGUCAAACCCCUCCAGUCUCAGAGAACUGGAUCUGAGUAGAAACCAGCUGCAGGAUUCAGGAGUGAAGCUGCUGACUGGUUUUCUGGAGAGUCCACAUUAUAGACUGGAGACUCUGAGAUGGGAGUGGUGAGCUGAGUGCUGAUGAUCCAGAGAGCAUCUGGUCUUGUUCUGACGUUCCAACGCUUGUUUUGCUGAUGUUUCUGCCGCUUCGUUUCCCUUUACCCGUCUCUGUGCUGGCACCCACAUGAAUGCCACCAAAAUACCACCUGACUAAGUGGGAGCAGUGUUUCCUAGAUGUCGUUGAUUAUAUCCUGCCUGCUAUGAGAUGUGACUGUAAUGAUGAUAACGCUGAACUGGAAUCUGAACCAAUGACAACCUUUCUGACCUGAAGCUCCUCCACCCACUGCAGCGCUGGUCAGACGGCCAAAGCCUCAACUGUCAACACGACAGAUGGUCUGAUGACCUUCGUCUGACCUCAUAGUUAAAGGAACGAUAACUGCAAAUCCAGUUCUCCCUGUAUUGGGCUCUUUAGAUCCAUCUGUGUCCGCCGGGGUAAACGAUUGAUCUGCUGUCUGCAGUGUCUCCUCUUCUCCUCCUUGUCUAGUUGUUGUCUUUGGUUCCGUCUUCCCUGUGCCUGGAUAUUCUUGACCUGCCUGUUUGACCCUGCCUGCUUGCCCUGACCCCGAUUCCCUGCCUGCCCCCUUUUGGACAUUUUUUUUUUGGAACUUUUGUCUGAUUAAAGAGUCUUUUUGUUAUUCACAUCUGAGUCCUGCCUGUCUCUCUGCGCCUGAGCCCCACCCCGUGACAAGAACCUGACAAAUAUGAUAUUAUGGCAUAAAAAGUCAUUACAAAUAAUAGUAUAAGAUGUAAAAAAAAUAGCCUUUAAAAAAGUAUCUCAUAAGUCCUCAUUUGUAUGUCAUAACAAAUCAACUAUGUCAUAGUAUGGCAUUUAAAUUUGAUAUCAAAAUAUAUCAUAAGAGUCAUAAUAUUGUUAGACAUAGAAAUGUCACAAGACAUGCCACAGUAGAGUAUGUCGUAAAAACACAUGAACGUCACACGCCAAGAUAGCGCCGUUAUUCUGAUCGCUUCUUAGAGUUUCAGCAGUUAUAUUACAUUUGGUUUUUUUGCCGUUUUUUUACGCUGUCAGUAGUUGUUCUUUUUAUAUAAACUUUAGAAUUAGAGUGCGUGAACCCAGCAGCAGAGCGGAAACGCUGCCCCCUGUCUGCCUGGAGCAGAUUUGACAGUCGUUACACAUUGCACCUUCAAAUGCUGAUGAUUUAUUCUUGAAUAAAUGUAUUGUUCACUUUAAAUGUGUUGUUCACUUUAACACGUGAAUGGAGGAAGUCUCACAACAAAUGACACAAUGGUACUUCUAUGAAACGGGACUGAAACUUUGAUUUUAUUUCAGGGAAUUCAAUGAAAAUGGUAGAAUGUGAAAAGUGAAGCAGCGACGUCUGAAUGCAGAUUCAUAUUUAUACACUGAGAAGAUUAAAUACCUUAAAUUACGCUCUAGAUUAGUUGUAUUUUUUUCUCAUUGGUGAGUAUUUGUUCUGUAUGUAAAUGCCUGCUGGGACGUCUGUGUUUCAGUUUUGUUUGUUUGGGGGGGGAGAAAUCUACUAUUUACUGUUUUAUCAUAUUCAUUCAUAGCUCUGUCUCUCUGAAUUUUGAGAAUUCAAAAUGUGGAAUGAUUUAAUAAGAUAUAAACCAAGCUGCCUGAAAUAAGAAGCAUCAAAUAGUGAAUAACUGGUCAACUUAAAAGGAAUGUGGAACCUUUAAAUCCCAAGAAAUGUAAUUCAUAAGUUGGGAGCAAAAACAAAGAAGCGUAAAAUAUUUACACACACAUAUUCAGUGUGAACAAUGACAACAAUAUGACACAACGAGAAGAAGAGUUGAAGACAUUAAUGUGUUGAAGGCGACCUCUUGUUUCUAUGAUUUCAUUGUUGAGACGUAAGAACAAAACAAUGCGUUGGGACGACUCCGACUUCGCUCCUGACAAACAGAUGUGUUGCAGCAACAUGUAACUGCAACGACUCUGAAUAAUAAUAACUUCAUCAUAUAUAAUAAAUAACUUGAGCUUUC